UUUUUGUUCGCAGAGCACAAAAAACAAACAUUUUUCCAAGGAAUUGUAUACAUAUUGAGGCGACUUAAUUAGAAUCGGAGAUUUUUUUCUUCUGACCGGUAACUUCGUUAGGAUCAAAAAUAUUGUACCCGACGCAAAUUCACGUCAGUUAUUUUGGAACCCAUGGAGUAUUAUAAAUAUCUUAAUUAUCUCGCCAUCGUCCUCUAUUGAUUGAUUUAAUUCAGUGACCUUAACAAACCCACUCAUCCCCUGACCUUGAACAAAUCUACUCAUCCCCAAAUGUCGCGAUCUGCAAUCGAUCGAUCCCACGCCACGUACCACAUGGAAACCUCCGCGGCGGCCGCCGGCAACUACUCUCGCUGGGUCUUAUUCGACGACGAGCAGACUCGUCCCUUCGACGCGGUCCAGUACCCCGCCGACGCCAAGACGGCGGCGCACGCGUACACCUCCGCCGGCUACUCCGUCCGCAUCUCCUUACUCCUCGCCGCGCCGCCGGCGGUGUCGCGCCUGGAACUCCACGUCGACAGCCCCGCGGACGUGCUCCUGGAGACCUACCGCGCCAACGUCGUCGCGGCGCACGGCGACUCCGUCCUCAUCAGCGUGAUCACGAUCACAUCCACGACGGGGCGGAGUGCGCACCGGGUCGGCAGCGACUACUUCGUCUACCGCGCCGUCGCUGUCGCUUCUCCCGCCUUGCUACUACGUCCAGGAUAUCUUCGCGCGCGAGGAUGCAGUGGAAGGAGCUGCGGACCAUGUGCUGGAAAACCACCGGCAUCCUCCGCGGCGAGAGGGAGGAGCUGGUGGUGGCGGCGAGCCUGGAGUUCUCCUCCAAGACGUCGCGGGAAGCCGAGAUGUGCGUGCUCCGCUCCUCGGGCGAGUGGGAGUGGCGGACCGAGCGCCUCUCGCUCGGGAAAGGAGACCAGCUUCCCGCUUGCGCUUCUGCCGGGCAAUGGCGGACCGACAGGGUGGUGCCCGUCGCCGGCCGGUUCCUCUACUGGGUCGACCUGCGCGUCGGCGUCCUCUUCUCCGACGUCACGUCUAGAUCGGACGAGCUCAGGUUCGUGCCGCUGCCGGUGGACCCCAUCCUCCGCCGGCGCGAGGACUGGGAUGAUAGUCCUCCCGAGUCGUCGUCCCGGAGCCUUUGUUGCGCCACCGCCGGCGCGGUGAAGUUCGUCCACGUCGCACCCCGCUGCUGCUGCGGCGGCCCCGGCGCCACCCAGUGCGCGCUCUCCAAGCACGCCUUCACCAUCACCGCCUGGACCCUGAGACCGCCGGAUGCGGUGGCGGGGUAUCAUUAUUGGGAGAAGGACGCCGUGGUGGACUGCGGCGAGCUCUGGACGCUCCACGCUUACCGCCGCCUCGGCAUUCCGCGCCUGCGCAUGGAAUUCCCUGUCCUCAGCGCCGACGACCCCGACGUCGUCGUCUUUCUCGUGUCCGAGCUCCGCCACGUCCAUGCCCGCGACGGCGACAAGACGACGACGUGGGCGGUCGCCGUCGACACGAGGACCAAGUCGCUAGCCGGAGCGGCCGUGCUCUGCUCCUCCUCGGGCGAGAACUACAACGGCAAAGAUUUCCUUCCCAGCGAGGUCUCCAGCUACUUCAACCCUUCUCCUCCGGCUGCAGCGAAUCGCCGGCGUACAGAAGAUGACAUCGGGGCGCCGGCGCCGGCGAGCACAAGCUGCGUGGACGAUUCAGCUCCUCCCGAUAACGAGGAGAUCCUGGCGGCGAUUCGGGAGAUCCCCGGGCUGGAUCAUGAAGAGAGGAUGAGAGCUUACGGCGUGAUUGCUUGCGGCCAUGAUCGCCGCAGGCAGCGGACUCUGCUGGCGCUGCCCGUGGAGAUGAGGAAGGAUUAUUGCUGCAUGUUGAUGGACAUUGUCGCCAACAAUAAAGUUUAAUUUUGAUGCAAAUAAUUCAAUCACAAAAUAAAGGUCCCUCGAAUGAUUCUGAUGACUAUAGAACAGUAUUUCACGGGUCAGCGUACCAAAUUUUGUAUGUACAACUCCUCUUCUCUUCAUAAAAAACUUCAUGCUGUCCUGAAUUCAGAAUAGAAAGAAAUUUCAAGA